GACAGAGGUCCCAAGCGUUAGGCGGAAUCACUGGGCUUAAAGCGUGUGUAGGCGGACUUCUAAGUACCUUGUGAAAUCCCACGGCUCAACCGUGGAACUGCUUGGUAUACUGGUUGUCUUGGGCCAUCUAGGGGGCUAGCGGAACAAACGGUGGAGCGGUGAAAUGCGUAGAUAUCGUUUUGGAACGCCAAUGGUGAAAAACAGCUAGCUGGGGGAUGUGCCGACGCUGAGACACGAAAGCCAGGGGGAGCGAACGGG
rnacentral:rRNA from 1 species